UUUCGAUUUUCGGUUACCGACACGUUGUUAGCCGCCGUUCAAUACAAUGCUAUGUCGUGCGCCUAUAGAACCUAGGUUCUAUAAGGUAUUAAAAGUAUAGUUAUAUUAGCUGUAGGUUUUAAACGACGAAAAACCCUCGGGUUGUGGUGCGAAACCGCGUCGGAUAGGUAACGGGGCCGAAAAAAUGUGUUUUCGGUACGCCCGGAGACUC